rnacentral:lncRNA from 1 species
AUGGAAUUCCAGUUGAGCUAUUUCAUCAGCCUAAAAGAUGAUGCUGUGAAAGUGCUGCACUCAAUAUACCAACAAAUUUGGAAAACUCAGCAGUGGCCACAGGACUGCAGAAGGUCAGUUUUCAUUCCAAUCCCAAAGAAAGGCAGUGCCAAAGAAUGCUCACACUACUGCACAAUUGCACUCAUCUCACAUGCUAGUAAAGUAAUGCUCAAAAUUCUCCAAGCCAGGCUUCAGCAAUACGUGAACCGUGAAGUUCCAGAUGUUCAAGCUGGUUUUAGAAAAGGCAGAGGAACCAGAGAUCAAAUUGCCAACAUCUGCUGGAUCAUGGAAAAAGCAAGAGAGUUCCAGAAAAACAUCUAUUUCUGCUUUAUUGACUAUGCCAAAGCCUUUGACUGUGUGGAUCACAAUAAACUGUGGAAAAUUCUGAAAGAGAUGGGAAUACCAGACCACCUGACCUGCCUCUUGAGAAACCUGUAUGCAGGUCAGGAAGCAACAGUUAAAACUGGACAUGGAACAACAGACUGGUUCCAAAUAGGAAAAGGAGUACGUCAAGGCUGUAUAUUGUCACCCUGCUUCUUUAACUUCUAUGCAGAGUACAUCAUGAGAAAUGCUGGACUGGAAGAAACACAAGCUGGAAUCAAGAUUGCCGGGAGAAAUCUCAAUAACCUCAGAUAUGCAGAUGACACCAUCCUUAUAGCAGAAAGUGAAGGGGAACUAAAAAGCCUCUUGAAGAAAGUGAAAGAGGAGAGUGAAAAGGUUGGCUUAAAGCUCAACAUUCAGAAAACAAAGAUCAUGGCAUCUGGUCCCAUCACUUCAUGUGAAAUAGAUGGUGAAACAGUGGAAAUAGUCUCGGACUUUAUUUUUGGGGGCUCCAAAAUCACUGCAGAUGGUGACUGCAGCCAUGAAAUUAAAAGACACUUACUCCUUGGAAGAAAAGUUAUGACCAACCUAGAUAGCAUAUUCAAAAGCAGAGACAUUACUUUGCCGACUAAGGUCCGUCUAGUCAAGGCUAUGGUUUUUCCAGUGGUCAUGUAUGGAUGUGAGAGUUGGACUGUGAAGAAGGCUGAGUGCCGAAGAAUUGAUGCUUUUGUACUGUGGUGUUGGAAAAGACUCUUGAGAGUCCCUUGGACUGCAGGGAGAUCCAACCAGUCCAUUCUGAAGGAGAUCAGUCCUGGGAUUUCUUUGGAAGGAAUGAUGCUAAAGCUGAAACUCCAGUACUUUGGCCACCUGAUGUGA